rnacentral:rRNA from 1 species
ACGGGUGAGUAACACGUGGGUAACCUGCCCAUCAGAAGGGGAUAACACUUGGAAACAGGUGCUAAUACCGUAUAACACUAUUUUCCGCAUGGAAGAAAGUUGAAAGGCGCUUUUGCGUCACUGAUGGAUGGACCCGCGGUGCAUUAGCUAGUUGGUGAGGUAACGGCUCACCAAGGCCACGAUGCAUAGCCGACCUGAGAGGGUGAUCGGCCACACUGGGACUGAGACACGCCCCAGACUCCUACGGGAGGCAGCAGUAGGGAAUCUUCGGCAAUGGACGAAAGUCUGACCGAGCAACGCCGCGUGAGUGAAGAAGGUUUUCGGAUCGUAAAACUCUGUUGUUAGAGAAGAACAAGGAUGAGAGUAGAACGUUCAUCCCUUGACGGUAUCUAACCAGAAAGCCACGGCUAACUACGUGCCAGCAGCCGCGGUAAUACGUAGGUGGCAAGCGUUGUCCGGAUUUAUUGGGCGUAAAGCGAGCGCAGGCGGUUUCUUAAGUCUGAUGUGAAAGCCCCCGGCUCAACCGGGGAGGGUCAUUGGAAACUGGGAGACUUGAGUGCAGAAGAGGAGAGUGGAAUUCCAUGUGUAGCGGUGAAAUGCGUAGAUAUAUGGAGGAACACCAGUGGCGAAGGCGGCUCUCUGGUCUGUAACUGACGCUGAGGCUCGAAAGCGUGGGGAGCGAACAGGAUUAGAUACCCUGGUAGUCCACGCCGUAAA